AACUUGCGCGUGGUCUCGUCCCGUUCCAGAACACUCCCGUGCAGGUGCGCGCGCUCUACUGGCAUGGCGAGCGGCGGCGGCGGCGCUGCGGCGCGGAUGGACCCGGAGGCGGCGACGGAGCUGGUGCGAAAGGGCUCCACGCUCCUCCUGCUCGACGUCCCUCAGCGCACGCUCUUCGGAAUCGAUACGCAGGUGUUCUCUGUCGGGCCCAAGUUCAAAGGGAUGAAGAUGGUGCCUCCGGGGCCCCAUUUCGUCUACUACUGCUCCUCCAGCAGGAGUGGGAAUGAGUUUGCGCCUACUGUCGGUUUCUUUCUUAUUACUCAACCAUCUGAGGUGAUUGUUCGAAAGUGGGAUGCACAAGAGGAGAGGUUAAUCAAAUUGUCAGAAGAGGAGGAAAUCAGAUACUCUGAAGCAGUAAGGCGCUUUGAGUUUGAUGAUCAGCUUGGACCAUACAAUUUGGAUUCUUACGGAGAUUGGAAACAACUUUCAAGCUACUUGUCACAGAGUGCCAUUGAGCGUCUUGAACCAAUUGGAGGGGAAAUUACAAUUGCGUUGGAGUCAUCAUGGAUGGAUAAAGCUCCCCAAAGUGACAUGGAGAGACGCUUGAUGGAACAAUUGAGAGAGAGCAAGUUUACAAAAACCGCUCCUGUGCAGGCUGAGCAGAGAGGAUGCUACUACACAAGUAUCCCUGCCUCAGUUAAGCAUAAGAACGUCUCCGGUGGUGACUUGACAGCACUGAACUUGGACAAAACAAGCUUGCUGGAAAGUGUUUUGGCCAAAAAUUAUCAAGGCCAAGAAGAUUUACUCUUGGGGGAGUUGCAGUUCGCUUUCAUAGCUUUUAUGAUGGGCCAAUCGCUGGAGGCUUUCAUGCAGUGGAAAGCAUUAGUCAGUCUUCUCUUGAGCUGUAGUGAAGCUCCUCUUCAUACAAGGACUAACCUGUUUGUAAAGUUUCUUAGGACAUUUUACUAUCAGCUCAAGCAUGGGUUUCAACGUACCCAAGAUUCCAGAAAUGAUGAUGUGAGCAACUCUCUGUUUUUGGAUGAAGCAUGGUUUUCAAGAGACAUAUUCCUGUACCGUCUUUCCAAGGAUUUCUUUACAGUAGUAUUUGAAGCCCCUGUCGUGGAUGGAGACCUUCUAUCAUGGGUUUAAACAGCACAUGCAGAACUAGUUAUAUGGUUACUGCGAUCCCUGGAUUAAUUUGCACAAAUGUUGAGAAAUUUGUUUCAGACAUGUUACUGUACACUAUAGGAUAUCUCUUAACAUUUCCAUCCCAUAUGCAGGCUAGAAAACUAAAAACACUUCUGGAGACUACAUUUGGAUGGGAUCUCGAGGACAAUGCAAUGAACCUCAUUGAUGAAGAUGAUGAGUUUGCUCCUGUGGUUGUGGAAAUGGAUGGGUCGUAGGCUAAUGAAGUUGGAUUCCAUGACAUCUCUGGAAGUUAUGGUACGCCUUGAAGAAUGCAGAAACCAUGCAAUGGUCCAACUUUUUAUACUUUGAUUGGUAUGUUAAGUCAAGUCAUGUCACGUCACGCACACAAUGGUAUUAGGAUCUUAUGAUGUUCGGUGUUGAUCUCGGCACAUGGUGGUGUGCUGAUGGCCUGAUGUUUAUGAAGUUUUAUCCCCUGUAACAUGACUACUGAUGGAUUUAGUUGCCGGUUGACAUCUUGUUUUUGAAGAUAGGGAUAAAGUAGGAUCCUUUGUAUAGUGCACCAGUGAUCAUGUGGUAUCAUAAUUGCAGGAGUGUCUGGCCUGUGUAUAUGCGAAAGUUUUGACUCUAUAGCUGCAUCAACAACAGUGUAUCUUUGAUCUUGGUAGUGUUAUGCGGCUAUGCCCCAUGGGCUAUUGCUUAUUAGGCAAAGUAUGGGCAACGCUUGGGGUUGUUGGUUUUCCGUGUAUGGGACAGCAUAAGAACUGCUAGCCAAAGUUCUUUUUAUAUAUAUAAUUAUAAUUACGAUACAAA